GCUCUCACCGGGGUCGAGCCGCGGCGAGGGAACGGAUCGGAGACGCUGCGCCUGCUCAGAAGGUAGCGCAGCGGGGAAAGGCGGGAGAGCGUUAACUUCUGAGCCUGCGCGGUGGGAGUUGCUCAAGCAGGUGGUAGCGACUUGGCUUCCGGGCAGCGGGUAAAGGAGCGGAUAUAUAUUCCAGCAGCAUGAGUAUUUUAGCCCUCUUUGCAAUUGCAGUCUUCAUUCAUUAUCAUCAAUAAACUGGCCUCUGGUUGAUUGAUCUAGUCUAGUUCUUAUUUUAUCACAGCACAUGGGAUAUAUGAUAUCAUCAAAGCCAUGAUGUGAACAAACCAUGAGGUAUAAUGGAGUUUGUAUGAGUAAUUGUGCCUUUUAAUUAUAGUUUUAGUUUGCUUUCUUGACUUCCAUUCAUUCAGAUUGCACAUUAGGGGACAGAGAAGAGGGUGCUUCAAUAUAAACCUUUGGCUAUUUUACAAACACACUUUGCUAAAUGUUCUUAGUCUCUAUCCUGCAAAAGUCACCUUCUUGGAUCAGAAAUAUAUAAAAGCCUUAGUGCUGGUGGAAAACAGGCUUCUUCGUUGGAGGUCAGUCUCAACUAACUUCACACUCUGAUUCCUAAAAAAAAAUGGGAAGGUGGGUGUGUACACAUCCUUUAUGUUACAAAUUUCUUACUGGAAAGGUGACCUAAAUAUUAGACUUUCCCGAAAGAGUAUUGAGUCUCAUAAAAAUCUCUAAUGGAACAGCACUUAAGAAUUUCAACCGUGUGACCACUAAGAAUGGUGUAGAUCCAUUACCUCUCACAUAGGCACUCUCCACGAUAGACUAAGUGAUAAAACCAAGCUGCAGAAGAUUGUAUUACCUGGAGAGAUACCAAAUUGUUCAGUGGUGACCUCUGGGAAACAUGGUGGGGGAGGUUUUGAAGGCAACACUCACCUUAAUUUGGGGAUAUUGUUAAAAAAUUUUUUUUACUUACAUAGUCUUUUUAAAAUAAAGAACUUAGCCACAAAAUCAAAACAGCUGAUUGAUAUGAAGCACCAGUAUCUCCAUUAUUGAAAGGUUGCUUCAAGAAUGCUGAAUAGUUUGUUACAUUUUACAAAAAAAUGAAAGAGCACAGGAUGUUGUCUACCUGUUUUAAUUAUGGAAGGAUAAUUGUCAAUUUUUAAAUAGCAAGAUAGUUAUAAAGAAUGUUUUCCAAAGCAAUACCAAAGAGAUACUUUUCCCUUUUAGAAUAGAAAUUAUGGUACCAUGCAGCUUAUUUCCCCAUAUUGAUCAGGUGAGCAUUUGUCUUAAGGAGUAAGAGAGUUUGUCAGACCUGGUGUCCAUGGCUUGCCAGAGAGGCAGAUUGAACUAUCUCUUGGCAUUUCCAUAAAUAUACAAAAAUUAGCCGGGCAUGGUGGCGCACGCCUGAGCCCCAGCUACUCGGGAGGCUGAGGCAGGAGAAUCGCUUGAACCAGGGAGGCAGAGGUUGUGGUGAGCCGAGAUUGCGCCACUGCACUCCAGCCUGGGCAACAGAGUGAGACUCUGUCUCAAAAAAAAAAAAAAAAAAAAAAAAGAAUUAUUGGGGCCAGGCACGGUGGCUCACGCCUAUAAUCUCAGCACUCUGGGAGGCCACACAGGCAGACCACCUGAAGUCAGGAGUUCGAGACCAGCCUGGCCAACAUGGUGAAACCCUGUCUUUACUAAAAAUACAAAAAUUAGUUGGGUGUGGUAGCACACUCCUGGAGUCCCAGCUACUCGGAAGGCUGAGGCAGGAGGAUUUCUUGAACCCGGGAGGUGGAAACUGCAGUGAGUCGAGAUCAAGGCACUGCACUCCAGCCUGGGAGACAGAAUGAGACUCUGUCUCAAAAAAAGGAAAAAAAUCCUUUACUAAGUCACCGAAGUCUUAGAAAUUUGGGAAACUGAGGACAAAGUUCCUAAGGGUUCUGGAGAAGAAGGUACAGCCAUUUGGGGAACUAUUUGUCAAGGAGCAACUUCAUGUCUGGGACAAUAGGUAAUUCAGAAAACAGUCCCUAAGAGACACAAUAUCUGAAAUAAUAAAGGGGUGUGGUAUAUCACUCAGGAAGUUACGUGGUAAGCAGCCAGGAUGGUUGAAGGUCCUGAGUAGCUGAAACCAAUAGGGAAGACUUUAUGGAGGAGUUCAGAUUUGAGACAAGCCAGAUUUUAAGCAGGGAAGAAAACAUUCCAAGUAAAGAAAACAGAAUGGUUUCAUGAUUUAAAAGCAAUUUUUUCAUUUUAUUUAUUUUUGAGACAGGGUCUCACUGUGUUGCCCAGACUGGAGUGCAGAGGCAUGAUCUCGGCUUACUGCAGCCUUUGCCUCCUGGGUUCGAUUCUCCUGCCUCAGCCUCCCAAGUAGCUGGGAUUACAGGCAUGCACCACCACACCUGGCUAAAUUUUUUUAUUUUUUUGGUAGAGAUGGGGUUUCAGGUUUCACCAUGUUGGCCAGGCUGGUCUUAAACUCCUGACCUCAAAUGAUCUGCCUGCCUUGGCCUCCCAAAGUGCUGGGAUUAUAGGCUUGAGCCACCAUGCCUCGCCUAAAAGCAAAAUUUUAAAUAAUUAGGAAUCAGGAAAUGAGUCUUGGGAUGAUUCUGAUGAUACUUUGUGUAAUAGGCUCUUUAAAAGUAUGACAAUUUAUGGGCCAGGUGCAGUAGCUCAUGCCUGUAAUCCCGGCACUUUGGGAGGCUAAGGAGGGAGGAUCACUUCAGCCCAGGUGUUCGAGGCUGCAGUGAGCUAUGACUGUGCCACUGCUCUCCAGCCUGGGUGACAGAGACCCUGCCUCCAAAAAAAAAGCAAUUUAUAAAGGCAGUGAAAUUACAAUUAUGAAAUUUUCAAAUUGAAAGAUGCCUUACGGAGCACAUAACAUGUACCCACACACAAAUAAUGAAACUAGUUCAGAUUAGAUAGCUUACAUUAAAGUCUCUAACACUUAAAUUAGGAAUUGAGUAUUUUUUCUAUCAGACUUUGUUCCAGAAACUAUUUCAGUCAUCUUUAUGAAUACAUGAUAUUCAAGAUACAUUAGCUGAGCCUUUAUAAAAACAUCUCAUGUACCCCAUAAGUAUAUGUACCUAAUAUGUACCCACAAAAAAUUUAAAUAAAAAACUUUAAAAGAUCCAUUAGUUGAAAAAACAAGUAACAGAAUUAAAUAGCAUCAUCUCAUUUAAGAAAACACUGUAUACAAGAACAAACACUAGACUACCAGUGCUCAUAUACGUAAUUAAUGAAUACUAAAACAAACUAGUUUUUGUUUUUGUUUUUGAGCCAGGGUCUCACUCUGUUGCCCAGGCUGGAAUGCAGUAGCAUGUUCAUGGCUCACUGCAGCCUCGACCUCCCAGGCUCAAGUGAUCCUCCUACCUCAGCCUCCUGAGUAGCUAGGACCACAGGCACAUGCCACCAGGCCCGGCUAAUUUUUUUUUAUUUUUUGUAGAUAGAGUCUUGCUAUGUUGCCCAGGCUGGUCUGGAACUCCUGGGCUCAAGAGAUCCUCCACUAUGGCCUCCCAAAGUGCUGGGAUUAUAGGCAUGAGCCAUCACGCCCAGCCAAAUCUUUUUACGUGAAACACCAUGGGGCCCCAAAAUUAACCUAAUUAAUGAAGACAGGAGAAGAGGUAAGUCAAGGAAUACACACAAAAAACAAGGAAUGACAAGAAAGCAAAUAGAUCAGAGAAUUGAGAGAGGAAACAUAGUCUCAGCAGCCAUUAGUGGAGACUGAGUGUAGCUGCUCAGAACCGAAUGCUGCUUUAAGAUUAAGGAAAGUUGAGAACUAAGAAAAGAUUUAAAUUGGACUGUGGCAUUAGCAUUAACUAUUUUAAGCACUUGGCCAAGCUCGGUGGCUCACACCUGUAAUCCCAGCACUUUGGGAGGCCAAGGCCAGCAGAUCACUUGAGGCCAGGAGUUCGAGACCAGCCUGGCCAACACAAUGAAACCCCGUCUCUACUAAAAAUACAAAAAAUUAGCUGAGCGUGGUGGCACAUGCCUAUAGUCCCAGCUGCUUGUGAGGUGGAGGUUGCCGUGAGCCAAGAUCGUGCCACUGCACUCCAGCCUGGGCAACAGAGUGAGAUUCUGUCUCAAAAAAAAAAAAAGCACCUGCUUUGAGGUAACUUUGAUUACAGCUGAAAUACAGGGAAUUUUACUAAAGGACAAAUACCUUCCCUCCCAGUAGCUUGUUUCAGAUUCUGGCACACUGGUAAAUAAAAACUAGAAUCUUGCAGGCUAACCUUGCACAUAUGUAUGUAAGACAGUCAGAAUUCCAGCCAGGCUUUCUCAAAACUAGGGCAGAAUUUUUUUUAACUUGUACUUAACUCUCUUCUCCCAGGUUAUGUUAAAAUAUGCCUUGGGUCAGGAUGAUAGAUGCCUGUUUUUUUCUGGAGAUUCUUAGACAUUCAGUCACUCAAUAUCAAACUGACAAUUAAUAAAAUGGUUGUCAUUUCCUCUUCCUUCUCUGCCAUAAUCUACCAUCAGCAUAUGACCAUAGAAAGAUGACAAAUUUUUAGAUAACCUAACCAACCCAUAUAUGAUUAAACUGACCUUUCCUUACUAAAAUAAAAUACACUUACUCCAUGUCUUCACUGCUUUUAUCCCCUCUAAUGUGAAAAUAGCCUCAAAAUGAUCUUCUAAGACACAAAAGAGGACUUAAACAGUGUCAUUUGUCACUUGCUUUAUGCAAACAUUCGAGUGUACCUCUUUCACCACAGGGCUAGAGAUGGUCUACUCUGUACAUACAUUUCACAACAAAGAAAAAUUCUGUCAUUCCCCAACUCUAUGACCAAGGAAAACUUUUAGGAUUUCUUUAAUUUGUAGCAGAGACACAGUGGCCUAGCCAAUCGGCAGUGCUAUACACACAGUAUGCCAGUUUCCCACCCCUACCCUCUUUCUCCUUUUUUAAAGCUUCAAAGGUUAGAUCAAUAAAAUUUAAAAUUUCCUCAUUUAAGGAGAAAUAUAAUGACCCACAUGUUAAUUUAUAUUAAAAACUAAAAAUAAAUAAUGGGGUUCUUAAACAAGGACAUCUUUAACUAGGUUAUGAUUAGACCAGCCUGUGGGUGAAAUGAGAGAUUAUCUCUUCUCCCUGGAAAUGUCUUCAAGGCUCAGACAAUUCAGUAGUUUUUAAAAGGCCCCAACUCACACAUCUCAGGUGAAAAGUAUAGGCAAUGGGCAACAAACAAGACGCUAGUAUGCACUUGGCUUCUGAUAAAUUGAAACAAAGAUUUGGUGGCCCAGCCUAAUAAAUGACAGCACGAAACUAGAGGUUUAAAGUAAGUUUUGACAUCACAUAUAGAUCCCUCAACCCUAAGUUACUUUGGAGGGAAGCCAUGAGAGGCUGGAUCAGUCCUCAAGCCUCAGCUAAGGAUGGAUCCUAUUUCUUCCCAGUGCAAAACACCAAAUGUACCUAUAAGGUGGAGUCGGCAAGGAGAGUUCCCCUCUUACUUUGAAGCAAGAGAUGGAAAAAGUCAGAAAGAUUUCUAGAUAAAAUUGAGAAACACAAAAGGCAAAGUAAAGUCAAUUUAAACAGGCCUCACAAAAAUCAGCCGGAAUUCUUAUUAAAAAAAACAAAACAGAACAUUCAUGGAUGGGCAAAGAAAGGAAACAAUGCAGACGCCUUUGGACUUCAAGAGAAAGCCCAUCAGGAAUCUCUGAGAGUGUCAGCUGAGAGAGUUCUGUCUCUCUCCAUGUAGGAUCCUUUCUGCAUCAUGUAUAUCCCAAAAGGAGUUCUGCGUGAAGGUCAUCCAUCUUCCCUACAGUUCUUAGCUGAGCACUGACACACACACAUACUCCACCAAUCCACCAAACUGCAGCUGUAGCUGCUUAUCUGACCCACACUCCCCUGGCUCUCCACUUUUAGGCACAGUCUUUGUUCUUUAUCGCCAGGCCCGAUUCAGGAGCUUCACCUGUGCCAGUCUCUUAGUGAUCAUGGUGGCAAAAACCAGGCCAAAGAGGACGCUGCUGAUUAACACGUAGUCAUAGUCAUCCUUCAGAACGUCAAACUGCUUGGAUGGGUAGACUCGAGUUUGGUAAAUGUCCAAACCAUAGGCCACAACCUGGAAGGCAGAUGGAAUAAGAAUUAGGAAAGAAACAACCAAUGAUCCACCAAGGGUGAAAUAGGGCAGCUGUGGGCUCUACUCACCAAACAAGUGGACUCCAGACCCGAGGGAGCUGUGUAGAUACCUCGCAUUCGAGAAACUGUCUGGUUAUAGUUGAUGAAUCGCUCUGCGUGUAUCUGUACAUCUGGAGAAUACGGGAUUAAGUUCUCCUCUCUGC
rnacentral:lncRNA from 10 species